rnacentral:rRNA from 1 species
AUGCCGUACGAAGAAACAGAUGAUCACAUAGUAAUCGAUGGCCGGAUGAAUGAGUUUAUCUACUCUCUGGCUGCUAACAAUGUGGAUGAUCAGCAGCAGCUCAAGGUCAUGUCUGUUCUUGGAUCUGGAUGUCUAGGUAAAACUACACUUGUCGAAGUGUUGUACAACAGAAUUGGGAUGCAAUUCGAUUGCAGAGCUUUCAUUCGAGUGUCCAAAAAGCCUGACAUGAAGAGACAUCUCCGUGACUUGUUCUUGCAACUCCACCCGAAGGAGCCACUACCUACCAACUCGAAUGAACUUGGCAUCAGCGACACUAAUAUCAGCAAACAUCUGCAUGAUAAAAGGUAUCUGGUUGUUAUAGACGAUCUGUGGGAUGCAUCAAUAUGGGAUAUUAUUAAACAUGCUUUUCCAAAGGGAAACCAUGGCAGCAGGAUAAUAAUAACUACACAGAUUGAAGAUGUUGCGUUAACAUGUUGCUGUGAUCACUCGGAGCAUGUUUUUGAGAUGAAACCUCUGGACGAUUAUCACUCAAGAAAGCUAUUCUUUAACAAACUUUUUGGUUCUGGAAGUGAGUGUCCCGAAGAAUUCAAGCAAGUUUCAGAUGAAAUUGUUGAUAUAUGUGGUGGUUUACCGCUAGCAACAAUCAACAUAGCUAGUCAUUUGAGAAACCACCAGACAGCAGUGUCACUGGAUUUGCUGACAUACAUACGCGAUUCGUUGAGGUCCCAUCUGUGGUCAAGUUCUACUUUAGAAAGAACGGGACAAGUACUGAACCUUACCUACAAUAAUCUUCCUCAUUAUCUGAAGACAUGCUUGCUGUACCUUCAUAUGUAUCCAGAGGGUUCCAUAAUCUGGAAGGAUGAUCUGGUGAAGCAAUGGCUGGCUGAAGCCUUCAUUGUUACACAAAAAGGGAAAAAGCAAGAUCAAGACUGGUUGGAAAAAGCUGCAGGGAUCUGUUUUGAUGAACUUAUUGAUAGACGAUUCAUCCAACCUUUAUAUAUCAACUACAACAACAAGGUUUUGUCCUGUACGGUUCUUGAAGUGGUACAUGAUCUUAUUGGACACAAGUCUGCGGAAGAGAAUUUCAUUGUGGCAGUAGACUACAAUCGAAAGAAUAUAGCACUUUCUCAUAAGGUUCGUCGACUAUCUCUCUUCUUUGGCGAUGCAAAAUAUGCCAAGACGCCAACAAAUAUCACAAAGGCACAUGUUCGAUCACUUAAUUAUUUUGGAUUAUUCAAGUGUAUGCCUUGUAUUAGAGAGUUCAAGUUUAUCCGUGUUCUGAACCUUCAACUAUCUGGUGAAUGCGGCAACCCUGAUCCCAUAGACCUGACUGGGAUUUCAGAACUGUUUCAGCUAAGAUAUUUGAAGAUUACAAGUGAUGUCGGCAUAAUACUACCAAAUUGUAUGCGAAGGCUGCAAUAUUUGGAAACAUUGGAUGUUAUGGAUGCAACAAGAGUCACUGCUAUUCCAUGGGAUAUUAUACAUCUCCCACACUUGUUGCACCUGACUCUUCCAGUUGACACAAAUCUGCUGGAAUGGAUUGGCAGCAGCCUGAGUGGCUCUGUCCUCAGUCUGUGGAACCUUGGCAAGCUGAACCACCUGCAGGAUCUACAUCUAAACAGUUCUUCCACACACCCUUCCCACCAUCUGCAGAGAAGCAUGGAAGCUCUGGGUUCUUUGAUCGGAGGACAUGGCAAUCUGAAAACUAUAGUAGUGGCUCAUGGCUCCUCGGUUGAAAAUAUUGUGAUUCAUGGCGCUCCAGAAGUAACCAUUUCAUUGGGUCGCAUGGCACCUCCCCCUCUUCUUCAGAGAUUUGAAUGCUCGCCACACAGCGGCAUCAUAUUUUACCGAAUUCCUAAGUGGGUUACAGAACUUGGCAACCUGUGCGUUUUGAAGAUUUCAGUUAAGGAACUUCAGAUGAUUUGUGUUGGUACUCUUAGAGGAUUAUAUGCACUGACUGAUCUGUCGCUGUAUGUGGAGACGGCACCCCUUGGCAAGAUCAUCUUUGACAAGGCCGGGUUCUCGAUUCUCAAGUACUUUGAGUUGAGGUUCUCGACUGGUAUAGCUUGCAUAAAUUUUGAGGCGCAUGCAAUGCCUAAACUCUUGAAGCUCAGGCUUGUUUUCAAUGCCAUUCCACCGGUGGACCAACUUGUUAUUUCUCCCUUCCAUCCCCCAUAUGAACGGUAUAAACCGGGUAAUGCACUAAUUACUAUUGAGGUUAUGCCAGGCCUUAGAAAUAUCUCUGUAAAAUUUGGGGGUGCAGCUGCUGAUCUGGAGUAUGCCUCGAGGACCUUCAUUAGUAAUCAUCCGAGCAACCCUAUUAUCAAUAUGCAGUUGGUGGAUUAUACCUCCUGUGGUGACACGAGCAAAAAACAGAUUGAAGAAUCAUAUUGGCUUAAUGAAUUGCUAGGAGCAAAAGGGAUUAUGGAGGAAAAACAAGCUGAUGAGAACAAGACUGUCUUUAACAAGAUAAUAGAGCCAGAUUACUCAUAUCAUUUGAUGGGAUCAAGUUUUCUUGCACAACAUUACCUUGACAAGAGGUUGGAACCAGAAGGGAUUGUGGGGAAGAAAAAGAUCAAUAUAUAUGACAAGACAAUGGAACCAGAUGAAGACGCAUUUGGUAUAUCAAGUUGGUUUGACAAGACACUUGAACAAUCUAUGACAGGAGAUGGGAGCUCGACCAGCUGA